rnacentral:lncRNA from 1 species
UUUUAAAACAUGGUUCUUAUUAUAGGCUAAAUAUUAUUUUAAAUUUAAAAUAGUCAAAUUAUACCCGCUUUAUAAAAACAGAUGCCACGUAGAAUUACGUUUCACUUUUACACAUUAAUUAAAAAAUAACAUGGAUGCAACAUCAUUAAAAUGUAUUAAGAAAAUUGGAGAUUAAAAAAAAAACCAAAAACAAAAACCCAAAAAAUAAAAAAUAAAACAAAAAACAAAAAAACUUCCCCACUCAUCUUUG